GUUUACGGCCAUACCACCCUAAACAAGCCUGAUCUCAUCUGAUCUUGGAGGCCCAGCAAGGUUGGGCCUGGUUAGUACUUGGAUGCGAGACUGUCUGGCAAUACUGGAUGCUAUAUAUA
rnacentral:rRNA from 1 species